GAUGAACGCUAGCGGCAGGCUUAAUACAUGCAAGUCGAGGGGCAGCAUGAACUAGCAAUAGUUUGAUGGCGACCGGCAAACGGGUGCGGAACACGUACACAACCUUCCUUUAAGUGGGGAAUAGCCCAGAGAAAUUUGGAUUAAUACCCCGUAACACAACGAAGUGGCAUCACUUUGUUGUUAUAGUUUCGGCGCUUAAUGAUGGGUGUGCGUAUGAUUAGAUAGUUGGCGAGGUAACGGCUCACCAAGUCUACGAUCAUUAGCUGAUGUGAGAGCAUGAUCAGCCACACGGGCACUGAGACACGGGCCCGACUCCUACGGGAGGCAGCAGUAAGGAAUAUUGGUCAAUGGACGGCAAGUCUGAACCAGCCAUGCCGCCGUGAAGGAUUAAGGUACCUCUGGAUU
rnacentral:rRNA from 1 species